GGAAAUUACAAGCUCACCAUAUAAAACAUUUUGGAAAUAAAGGGAAGAUGACCGGAUGGGUAGGAUUUUAGCAGGUGAGGAUAAAAAGAGAAGUAGAUGAAGCAGUUUAAGCAAAAAGAGGCCUCAGGGAGGUAUGGUGCGUAUUCCGACUCUGGGCUAACCACCAUCCUGUUUCAUUUAAGUGGCAAGGCAGUGUGUUGGGAUUAAGAGCCCUGUCACUCAAUUGCUGUGUGUCCUCAAGCAUGGUACUGGACCUCUCUGAGACUGCCUUAAUAGAGGACACUGAAGCCAGGGCAAGGCAUUAGUACAUGGUAGGUGGCAGCAUCCAUUGAAGGCUUUGCAUAGGGAAGAGCCUUGAUUGGAACUUGGCAACUAAUUAGACACCAGAGUCAAAAAGGAGUGUUAAGGCAGGGUCAUUGUGUGGCUGGAGGGACCAGCACUGGGUUCGUGGGUGAAGAGGAAGAGUUUAAUGUUUGAUGAGUUUGUGUUGCUUACAGGACAUCUGAAGAAAACCCCCAGCAAGCAGAUGGGGCUGGGCCUGAAGUUCGAGUGGAAGGUAGGAAGAGAUGAUGGAAAUGUGGGGCCACUGGAGCCCAGCAGGACAGUUAGGAGAAUGUCCAAGGAGAAAGGGGGAAGGACGGGGCUGAGGAAGGCCCCUUAUAUUUAGAGGCUGGGGUUGGGAGUCAGAGGAUGGAAACAGCACCUUCAGAGGGGUCUUGUCCCCAGGGAGGGCCUCAGUGCAGACAGUGUCAAGCCCUAAGGAUCAUCCAGCAACCCCAUCACCCCCAACUCACUUCACAGAGAGAGGCACAUCAGGUGUGCUCAGCAUCACAGAGCAGGAAGAGGCAGGGCAGGACCAGAACCCAGAACUCAGCACUCUGCUCUUCUCACACCCAUAUAUUCAGAGCCCUUGAGACCUGGCUCUCCUGACCUGGCUUAUCUGUGAGCUUUGCCUUUGAGAGAAGACUGCCAGGCUCUAGGACAGGUGCUGAAGGGAAAUACAGUUCGGGGGCCUUGUCUUCCUGGCUCUGCAAGCCCUCCCACGGUAUAUGUAGGGCAGUGUGUGGGGACAUCCGGUCCUGCCAGCUGCAGCCAGUCUGGCCUUUGCCGAGGGAAGGAGGUCUUUGGGAGAGGGAAAUUGUUUCUCCAAAAGAUGGGGAAGAAGUUUCUGCCUCACCAUGUGGUGCGGAAGAGGGGCCAGAGAGGUGUGUGUCUGCUGGGCCAGAGCUGGGGGGGGACCUCUAACUUGACCUAAGCACUUGAGGGUGGCCUUCUGCUUAUCCUUUUCCUUCAAGGGUGGAAAUAAAAAAUAUAU
rnacentral:lncRNA from 1 species